AUUCCAGCUCCAAUAGCGUAUAUUUAAGUUGCUGCAGUUAAAAAGCUCGUAGUUGGAUUUCGGGCGGUUGACGACGGUCCGCCUCUGGUGUGCACUGCCGUUCUUCCGCCUUUCUGUUGGGGACGUGCUCCUAGGCUUCAUUGUCUGGGACACGGGUUCGACGUGGUUACUUUGAGUAAAUUAGAGUGUUCAAAGCAGGCAUCGCCUUGAAUAUAUUAGCAUGGAAUAGCACGAUAGGACUCUGGCCUAUUUUGCUGGUCUGUAGGACCGGAGUAAUGAUUAAGAGGGACAGUCGGGGGCAUUCGUAUUUCAUUGUCAGAGGUGAAAUUCUUGGAUUUAUGAAAGACGAACUUCUGCGAAAGCAUUUGCCAAGGAUGUUUUCAUUA
rnacentral:rRNA from 1 species